CAGGAGUAGCUGAGCAGCAGAGACCCCGCUGAAGUGCUCAGCCCCCAGUCUCUUCCUGCCUGUUGGUAUUUCUGUGGCCGUUCAGUGAAGAGAAAGAAAAAAAAAAGACAAAGAAAAGCAGGCUGGAGAAAGUUGCCCUAUCAAGAUCUGGUGUCUUUGGUCUGAGGUGGUUACUUCUGAGGGGGGUGACUGGAAGGGUGUAAAGGCUGGGGGUGGUGCUAGGGAGUUUGUUUUGCCAUGCAGAACGUUUGGGAUCGGACAAGCAGCGUUGACAGUGACAAAACAGGUCAUAUAAUAAUGCUGGGAAAAGGACAAAGCAGUGGAUACCCCCCUGAGACAACAAGCAACACCUUACAGAGCAUCACUUCGGGACCUUUGGACGGUGUUGACAAUAAGGGUCUCCAGUUGGGUGUCCAGCUCCCAGGCAGUUCGCAG
ensembl:lncRNA